UCUUCUGCUGAUUUUGUACGUUUGCCCACUGACAAAGAAAUGACCAGUCUAUAAUUUUAAUGGUAGGUUUAUUUGAACAGUGAGAGACAGAAUAACAAAAAAAUCCAGAAAAAUGCAUUUCACGACAAUUUGCCCUCACAAACUAGAUUAUUGAUUCUGUCUGCGGAGCUUUCCAGUGAGGGUCUGCGAGGAAAAACCAGUGGCACAUUUUAUGAAGGGUGAGGGAAAUUCCCGUCUGACCAUAAGACGACGAGGACCUGCCCAGACCCUUAAUGUGAGCUGCCCAGGACGAGACACAUCAUCUGCAAACAAUUGAGGAACACGGCGACUGAAUUUUCAAAGUCUGUUACAGAUGUGGUGAAGGCUUCAGGCAUGAUGCCUUUGCUUGAUGCUCCAGUUGGAGAUGCUGAUACUGAAUCAAGCUUUCAGGGGAGGAUGGGACUGACUGAGGAUGACCCAUGGUAUGCUGUGGGUGAGGUAGUAGAAUAAAUAUUACACCACCACAGUUCCUUCUUUUACAUUUUUGUUAUAUGUUAAGUUCUUUCCAGUAUGUUUGUUCUCUCUGUUGUGAAGGUUUGGAGUCCCUGGGUGGCAUGGUGCCCACCUGGUGCAGGAUAAGAGUAGCUGAGAGGACCAGAUGGUUUAUAAUAAUGCUUUGCUCUGCUUUACUCUGUUUUCCAUGACCAAAGUUUUAUCCUACAUCUUACAUGUCAAUAAACAAUAAAGUUGUAUCCUGUUUUUGUCAAAAGGGGGAGACAAAAGCAUAUAUCACUUGUUGAUUUUUUUUUCUAUUUUUCUGUAAAAAAAAAAUAAAAAAUUAAGUUAAUAAACUUUUUAUUAUUUUCAUGAAAUGCUAUUAACAUAUUACUAUGUUGGGACCGCUGACAAAAAAGGCUAAUGAGUGACACCCUAGCGGGUGUCAAAAGGGGGACUUAAAUUUAACACUAUUUUCUUUUAUUCUGUUUUUAAAUGAGCUGUUGUUCUCUUUUGACAUGAGGGUUUUAAGUUCUUAGGUGGCUGGUAGCCAAUCUAGUACAUAGUGGGAUCGAAUGGAGGACAUGAAGGUAUUUUAAACUUUGUAACUGUUAUAUGAUUCAUUGCUGAAUUUUUAUUCACACCCUUUGGGGUGUGAAAAAGGGGGAUUGUGGGAUUCUGUGUUUUACAUUAUAGCCAUUACCAUAUAUAUGAUUAAAUAUUAUCUUAUGUUGGUUGUGUGAGGUAUCUGCAUUUGUGCACUGGAGCAUCAUUAUGAGAUUAAACAACUGCUUGUUUAACAUGAGUAACAUGGUGUGACCUGCAUGUUGCAAAACUGUAGAUAACAGCCCAGCAGAUGCUUUGUCCUUGUGUUUGUAUGUAACAAUAUUGAGCACAUGGUGUGACUUGCUGUAUCUUACAAAGUUGUGAUAGGGAGGGGUGGUCAUCGAGGUUUAACUGAGAUGGAAAAAUACUGAACAACACAAUAGCAGGAACUGAGCAACUGUUAUAACUAGGCUGCGAUACCAGAACAGUAAGAAUCUAUACAUCGACGGAGGGAGGACUCCAAGAAGCUCCAAGAGGCGGGGACCCGGCUGAGUGCCUGCGAUAGGCUGAGCAAGUUUAAUCCACGCCCAGCCUCUACUGUGAUAGGCCAACAGACGGGUUGGACCGAUGUCCAUCACAGUAUAAGAACACUGUUUACAUACAUCCUGUCAGUUCUCUGUUCUGCCCUGCGUGGUAUUACAGUGAGCCCUUAUAUACGAAAGUUUCAUUUGCCAUUUAUUACUUCGCUAAUAAAAAAUACAUAGUAUACAA